UGGCAGUCCUUGUGGGAGUGGCUGUUGCCUGUGGAGUUAUUAUUGUGAUCUUAACUGGAGUCCUCAUUUACAGAUGCCACAGAGAAAACAGAGAGCCAAAACCCGACAGAAAGAGUUUGAUAGGCAACGAAUAUUCAACCACAGGGAAGGCUUCAGAAAGCAGCUCUGCCACAACUUCUGCUGGAAGUGAGAGACUCUUCCCCAGAAUCCAACUCAGAAGGCCUGAUCAGGUUAACAGAGCAGCCACAGCCACAGCCGACCAAGGAGACCAGAAAAGAUUCAGCAAUGAAGCAGGAGUUUCAAGCAGUUCUUACUUUCCUGAGCGAGACUAUGAUGAUGACAAAAAUCCCAAGUAUGAAAUGACAUUGAGAGAGAGAAUGUAAAUCCAUCUGAAAAGUAAGACUGAGAAUGCUUGUGAGUUUCAACUCUGCCGAGGAACCAACACACCAUUUCUCUGUAGCUUCUCCAACUUUUCUGUGACAUUGUUGUGUGGCAAUCACGAUGCUUGACAUGCUGACGCAUCCUGCUAAUUAUACUUUGAAAAUGGACCAGUGGGUUUGAUGGAACUUCAGCUUAUGCUUGCUGUCUUGUUUAAAUGAAUUGGGAACCAGGUGUGGGAGGGACAUACAGCUCCAGAUAUGUUAACUGUAAUGGCAUUUGCAUAUAUUCUGCCAUAGUGGGCACCCAGGACACCAC